UACGAGGGGGGCGAGCGUUGUUCGGAAUCACUGGGCGUAAAGCGUGCGUAGGCGGUUGGCUACGUCAGAUGUGAAAGCCCUGGGCUCAACCUGGGAAUGGCAUUUGAAACUGGCCGGCUAGAGUGUGAUAGAGGAUGGCGGAAUUCCCGGUGUAGCGGUGAAAUGCGUAGAGAUCGGGAGGAACAUCCGUGGCGAAGGCGGCCAUCUGGAUCAACACUGACGCUGAGGCACGAAAGCGUGGGGAGCAAACAGG
rnacentral:rRNA from 1 species